AUCAAGAAGGGGUGCGCUACGUUCUUGGUGGGCGAGGAGGUGAAGGACGGGGCGCCGAGGCGGUUCGCGAUGCCGGUGGAGCUGCUCGUGCACCUGCGGAUCAUGGAGCUGCUCGCGGAGGCGGAAGAGAAGUACGGCUACGCACACGAGGGCGCCAUCGUCCUGCCCUGUUGCGUCGAGCGGUUCCAGAAGGCCGUCGACGAGGCGACGGCGCAAGAACGGCACCGUCGUCACCAGCAACACCACCAUCAUCACUUCAACCUUCCUCAGCUAGUCGGGUGCUUUAGGCCGGCGCAUUUUGUUGUUUAG
rnacentral:rRNA from 1 species